UCCUGGCUCAGAACGAACGCUGGCGGCAUGCCUAACACAUGCAAGUCGAACGAGACCUUCGGGUCUAGUGGCGCACGGGUGCGUAACGCGUGGGAACCUGCCUUUAGGUUCGGAAUAACUCAGAGAAAUUUGAGCUAAUACCGGAUGAUGUCUUCGGACCAAAGAUUUAUCGCCCAAGGAUGAGCCCGCGUAAGAUUAGCUAGUUGGUGAGGUAAAGGCUCACCAAGGCGACGAUCUUUAGCUGGUCUGAGAGGAUGAUCAGCCACACUGGGACUGAGACACGGCCCAGACUCCUACGGGAGGCAGCAGUGGGGAAUAUUGGACAAUGGGCGAAAGCCUGAUCCAGCAAUGCCGCGUGAGUGAUGAAGGCCUUAGGGUUGUAAAGCUCUUUUACCAGGGAUGAUAAUGACAGUACCUGGAGAAUAAGCUCCGGCUAACUCCGUG
rnacentral:rRNA from 1 species